rnacentral:rRNA from 1 species
GAUGAACGCUGGCGGCGUGCCUAAUACAUGCAAGUCGAGCGAACAGACGAGGAGCUUGCUCCUCAGACGUUAGCGGCGGACGGGUGAGUAACACGUGGAUAACCUACCUAUAAGACUGGGAUAACUUCGGGAAACCGGAGCUAAUACCGGAUAAUAUAUUGAACCGCAUGGUUCAAUAGUGAAAGACGGUUUUGCUGUCACUUAUAGAUGGAUCCGCGCCGCAUUAGCUAGUUGGUAAGGUAACGGCUUACCAAGGCAACGAUGCGUAGCCGACCUGAGAGGGUGAUCGGCCACACUGGAACUGAGACACGGUCCAGACUCCUACGGGAGGCAGCAGUAGGGAAUCUUCCGCAAUGGGCGAAAGCUUGACGGAGCAACGCCGCGUGAGUGAUGAAGGUCUUCGGAUCGUAAAACUCUGUUAUUAGGGAAGAACAAAUGUGUAAGUAACUAUGCACGUCUUGACGGUACCUAAUCAGAAAGCCACGGCUAACUACGUG